rnacentral:misc_RNA from 1 species
AUGGCGCCUGACAGAAA